CACACUUAUCACCCAGCAAUGGUGGAGGCUGCUAUGUAGAGUGCAUUAACCAGGGCUGCCAGCAUUAAUGCACCAAUCCCAGUUUGGUUAAGUCAGUCGUUUCAGUGUGGACACUGCAACCCUCCUCCACCCCAGCCACCUCUGUUCAGUUCAUCUGCAUCUGGUCCAGGUCCGCACAGGUCUCCUGCUCAUCUCAUCCUGCAUACCUCAGUCUUCUCAUCCAAGCUACCUCAUUAGUGUCCCGGUCCAGCCGCCCAGAAGUCUAUACCUCAUCUGUUCAUGCAUCCCUCAUCAACACCACCAGUGUCUAGACUCUAUGGGAGGCCUGCUGUCGGUGUCACUACCUCUUCAAGAUUCAGACCAGGCGGAGCAGUAUGGAGCUGUGAGCCUGCAAACCACCACCAUGCAUCCGGUGCUCUGUUAGACCAAGCUGUA